ACGAACGCUGGCGGCAGGCUUAACACAUGCAAGUCGAGCGAACCCUUCGGGGUUAGCGGCGGACGGGUGAGUAACGCGUGGGAACGUGCCCUUUUCUACGGAAUAGCCUCGGGAAACUGAGAGUAAUACCGUAUACGCCCUUUUGGGGAAAGAUUUAUCGGAGAAGGAUCGGCCCGCGUUGGAUUAGGUAGUUGGUGGGGUAAUGGCCUACCAAGCCGACGAUCCAUAGCUGGUUUGAGAGGAUGAUCAGCCACACUGGGACUGAGACACGGCCCAGACUCCUACGGGAGGCAGCAGUGGGGAAUCUUAGACAAUGGGGGCAACCCUGAUCUAGCCAUGCCGCGUGAGUGAUGAAGGCCUUAGGGUCGUAAAGCUCUUUCAGCUGGGAAGAUAAUGACGGUACCAGCAGAAGAAGCCCCGGCUAACUCCGU
rnacentral:rRNA from 1 species